UACAGAGGUCUCAAGCGUUGUUCGGAUUCAUUGGGCGUAAAGGGUGCGUAGGCGGCGCGGUAAGUCGGGUGUGAAAUCUCGGGGCUUAACUCCGAAACUGCAUUCGAUACUGCCGUGCUUGAGGACUGGAGAGGAGACUGGAAUUUACGGUGUAGCGGUGAAAUGCGUAGAUAUGCGGAGGAACACCGAUGGCGAAGGCAAUCCCCUGGGCCUGCACUGACGCUCAUGCACGAAAGCGUGGGGAGCAAACAGG
rnacentral:rRNA from 1 species